UGGGGAAUAUUGCACAAUGGGCGAAAGCCUGAUGCAGCAACGCCGCGUGAGUGAUGAAGGCCUUCGGGUUGUAAAGCUCUGUCUUUUGGGACGGUAAUGACGGUACCAAAGGAGGAAGCCACGGCUAACUACGUGCCAGCAGCCGCGGUAAUACGUAGGUGGCGAGCGUUGUUCGGAUUUACUGGGCGUAAAGGGCGCGUAGGCGGCGCGGUAAGUCACUUGUGAAAUCUCUGAGCUUAACUCAGAACGGCCAAGUGAUACUGCUGUGCUAGAGUGCGGAAGAGGCAACCGGAAUUCUUGGUGUAGCGGUGAAAUGCGUAGAUAUCAAGAGGAACACCUGAGGCGAAGGCGGGUUGCUGGGCCGACACUGACGCUGAUGCGCGAAAGCCAGGGGAGCAAACG
rnacentral:rRNA from 1 species